rnacentral:misc_RNA from 1 species
AAAAAGAAGAAAUACCAGGAUAACGAUGAUCCAGUGCCUAAGGAUAGUAAGGCAGUCCAGAAACAAGCAGCUAAGGUUUCAUCGAAGGUUUCAACAAAGGAACAAGGGAAAGCCAAGGCCGUCAGGAAAGCUAAACUUGGGCCCAGCAAGGAGGAAUUGCAUUCUGUUGUCAGCAAAAUAUUGAAAGAAGUGGAUUUCAAUACUGCAACAUUGGCCGACAUCCUCAAGCAAUUAGGUGCUCACUUCAACACAAAUCUAAUGGAUAGAAAGGAGGAGGUGAAGCAUAUAAUUCAAGAUGUGAUAAACACUAUGACUGAUGAAGAUGAUGACGACGAGGAUGAUGAUGG